UACGGAGGGUGCGAGCGUUAAUCGGAAUUACUGGGCGUAAAGCGCACGCAGGCGGUUUGUUAAGCAAGAUGUGAAAGCCCCGGGCUCAACCUGGGAACUGCAUUUUGAACUGGCAGACUAGAUCUUGGAGGAGGGGGGUGGAAUUGCCAGGUUGUAGCGGUGAAAUGCGGUAGA
rnacentral:rRNA from 1 species